UACCACUCAAGCUUAGCUUGGUAUUGGGGCCCGCCCACCAGCGGCCUCUAAAAUCAGUGGCGGUGCCGGUCGGCUCUAAGCGUAGUAAUACUCCUCGCUAUAGGGUCCGGUCGGUUGCUUGCCAACAACCCCAAUUUUUAUCA
rnacentral:misc_RNA from 2 species